UUCCAUAUCUCACAUUGAGAGAUUUUUAGUAUCGAUAUACCAUUGUCCACAAUACUAUUAUUCACAAUACCAUUAUUCACAAAAUCAGUACCACCGUACUCUCAGCACGGAGUCCGAUCACGACCCGAUCGGCUAGGCUAUCUCAUUAAAGACAUCAACCACAAUUACUCUCAAUAUCAAUACCACCGUCUUUAACACGGAGUCUGAUCACGACCCGAUCACUAGGCUAUCCAUUAGGGACAUCGACCAAAAUCACAAUUUCAAUUACAAUUUCCAGCACAAUCACCACCAUUUGUGCGGCAUAAUGUCCGAUCACGACCCGACCGACUAGGCUGUCUUAUUCGAGACAUCUAACCUUUUUAUAUCAAUCAUCGCAUUUCAUAUUACUUUCACAUUUUUUCAUUUCAUUGGCACUAAUGGCCAUAAUUAUAAGAUCAUUCUUGGCACGUUGGCCAUAUUCAGUAUUUUAUGCUCACCCUUUUCAAUUUCAAAUGUCGUCGUCAUCAUCAACAACAAAUACAAUUCAAAUCAAGGUGUGUAGCACACAUGUGAGCAAUUUAGAGUCUAAGGCACAUAGAGAUAUUUCACAAAAUUUGGCAUAAUAGCCUUCGUUUGAACUUGACUUGAAGUCGAAACAUUAUUAAUGCACAACCCAUAUUUUAACACACCCUCAAUUGAUAACAUAACAUGAAUAAAGCAUUUGGGAUAUAAGAGAACAGUUUAGCCAACAUACGUCACUUGAGCUUCCUUACACUCUAAAUGUUCCGGAAUUCUUAGCAACUUCAAUCUAUUGUAGAAAUAUAACAAAUUGAAUCAAAAUUAGGAAGAUGCUCAUGGUUCUAGCUCAUUUGAGCAUUUUAUCAAACACUAGGUGUGCAUUAAGGUUUCAAGGUCCUUUUAUGGAGGAUUCCAUCAUCCCACAA
rnacentral:lncRNA from 1 species